rnacentral:sRNA from 1 species
GCAGGGCGAGGUGGCCCACGCCUGUCAUCCCAGCAGCUCGGGAGGCUGAGGCAGGAGGAUCGCAGAUUGGAGGCCAGCCUCCACCACAGCGAGGCCCUAAGCACCUCAGGGAGACCCUGUUUCUG